rnacentral:rRNA from 1 species
CCUACGGGUGACAGCAGUGAGGAAUAUUGGUCAAUGGACGAAAGUCUGAACCAGCCAUGCCGCGUGCAUGAAGACGGCUCUCUGAGUUGUAAACUGCUUUUGUACAAGGGUAAACCUGAAUACGUGUAUUCAACUGGAAUUACUGUACGAAUAAGGAUCGGCUAACUCCGUGCCAGCAGCCGCGGUAAUACGGAGGAUCCGAGCGUUAUCCGGAUUUAUUGGGUUUAAAGGGUGCGUAGGCGGAUUGAUAAGUUAGGGGUGAAAUGCCCGGGCUCAACUCGGGAACUGCCUCUAAUACUGUUGCUCUAGAGAGUAGAAGCGGUAGGCGGAAUGUAUGGUGUAGCGGUGAAAUGCUUAGAGAUGAUACAGAACACCGAUUGCGAAGGCAGCUUCCCAAUAUAUAACUGACGUUGAGGUACGAAAGCGUGGGGAGCAAACAGGAUUAGAUACCCGAGUAGUC